CGGGCUUGAACUGCUGAGGACCGGCCGAGAGAUCGGCUUUCCCUUCGGGGUCUCAGUGGAGGUGCUGCAUGGUUGUCGUCAGCUCGUGCCGUGAGGUGUCGGCUUAAGUGCCAUAACGAGCGCAACCCUUGCCCGCAGUUGCCAUCACCUUGGGUGGGCACUCUGCGGGGACUGCCAUCGCAAGAUGCGAGGAAGGUGGGGAUGACGUCAAAUCAGCACGGCCCUUACGUCCGGGGCUACACACGUGUUACAAUGGGGGGUACAGAAGGCAGCUUGCGGGCGACCGCCGGCGAAUCCCCAAACCCCCUCUCAGUUCGGACUGGAGUCUGCAACCCGACUCCACGAAGCUGGAUUCGCUAGUAAUCGCGCAUCAGCCAUGGCGCGGUGAAUACGUUCCCGGGCC
rnacentral:rRNA from 1 species